rnacentral:rRNA from 1 species
GACGAACGCUGGCGGCGUGCUUUACACAUGCAAGUCGAACGGAAAGGCCCUGCCUUUGUGUGGUGCUCGAGUAGCGAACGAGUGAUUAACACGUGAGUGACCUGCCCUUGACUAUGGGAUAACUUCAGCAAACCGGGGCUAAUACCCGAUAUGAGCUCCAGCUGCAUGGUGGUGGUUGGAAAGUGUCGGCGGUGGGGGGGGGACUCGCGGCUUAUCAGCUUGGUGGUGGGGUUGUGGCUUACCAAGGCUUUGACGGGUAGCGGGCCUGAGAGGGUGACCGACCACAUUGGGUCUGAGGUGAGGCAGAAACUGCUAAGGGAGGACGAAGUGCGAAAUACUGAACCAUGGGCGGGACGCUGAUGCAGCAAGGCCGCGUGUGGGAUGCCGGCCUUCGACUUGUAAACCGGUUUCGCCUGUGAAGAAGGGUGUGAGACGGUAAUGGGUAGAGAAGCACCGGCUAACUACGUU